rnacentral:tRNA from 1 species
GUGGGUAUAGCUCAGUGGUAGAGCACAUGCUUAGCAUGCACGAGGUCUUGGGUUCAAUCCUCAGUACCUCCA